ensembl:snRNA LOC120102068 U1 spliceosomal RNA
CUGUUUACCUGAUUGGGGAAGUGCCAUGAUCAUGAAGGUGGUUUUUCCAGGGAUAGGCUUACCCCUUACUCAGAUGAGCUGACCCCCACGAUUUCUCCAAUUAUUCAGUGGGAAACUCAACUGCAUAAUUUGAGGGAGUGGGUGGGAGCACAGUAAAAAAAAUGCCUU